AAGUGGAAGUUCUUCUUUGAUAAGUAAUUGAUUGAUUUAAAGUAUAUUUGAAUUAGAAGUCUUAUAUUUAUUGGGUCAUAAGAAUUAUCUAUAAAUAAAGAGGGUCUCUACCUAUGGAUGUGUAGCAAUCAGUGAGAAAAGAGAGAAAGAGAGAAAGAGGCAUGAGAGCUAGUGGGUGCCCCUUCCCUUAGCGUGUCCUCCUCCUUGCCGCCCAUCCUAUCCAAGCCGUGGGCCCUCCUUGGGUGCCCUCCCUUGCUGGUGUGAGGCAUCACACUAGCAUCUCUCCUUCCUCCUUUGGUGAUCUUGCGAAGGUGUUUCAAUUUAGAGAUUCAUCCUGCUUUCCUACAUUGCCUGGCGUGCACGCGAAGUAGAGGGCAUGCAGUUCCAGACCUACGUGAAGGUUGAAUCCAGAUCUCAAAGAUUUGAUCUUCAAUUCUACUAUAAUUUAGAUAAGAAUUAGAUCCUUAUUCAGAUAUAUUAAUAAAAAAAUU
rnacentral:lncRNA from 1 species